UUCUAUCUUUUACACAUUCCGUGUUAUCAAUAAAAGUCUACUGAUUUUGAAAAGCGAAAUAAUUUGUGUUAAAAGUAUGCGUACUUUCGAAGAAACCGAAUCGCUGGAAGGUAAUAAAAACAGCGAAGUUGAAUCAAAUAGUACCGACUCUUGUUCGCCGUCCCUUGCUCUUGCAGGGCGCAGGUCACCGUUUCAAAACUGGGAAAGAAAAGAAAUGAUAAAUUAUUUAUGCGAAGAGGAAAGUAUAGGUAGAGCUAAAGGAUUAAAAGUAUGGCAAGAGUUAAUCGACGAGGGAAAGCUCACGCAUAGAACUCCGUUUUCAUUACAAAAUCACUUUUUAAAGAAAAUACUACCUAAUAUUCAUCAUUACGUGAAAGAUCCCAGAUAUUUAGAAAUGUUUGAAAAUUUAAAAAGGUAACAGGAGUUAAAUUGAUGAUAAAAAUGUUGAUUGAGACUACUGCACAAUAAUAAAAAAUGUGGGAAGCUUUGUCAGGUUUUUCUGACUCUACAUUCUGAAAAAUAAGAGUUACCAUUUGAGAGAAACGCAAUAGCACAAAGGAUAUCUAAGA